rnacentral:rRNA from 1 species
AAUAUAACGCAUGCUAGUGCCAAAUUAAAUAAACAUUAUUUGGCGCGCCUUGGUGAGUACGGUCUAGUCUCUGCCUAUUUGAAAAAGAUAGAUGAGUCGGGCUUAACAAUAAACGCCUGUUACGGGUAGUUUGUUUAAAUUGAUUUUUGUGAAGCAUCAGUCACUUGCGGGUUCGAGUGUCCCUUAUAACAGCAGCGGGGAAUAUUUAACAAUGUACUUUAGUAUGAUUUAGUUAUAGUAGCUUACUGGGGGAAUAGUAUUCGCCUAUUUUUUACAAUAAACAUAAUGAGGGUCUGUAAAACAGUUAUGGCCAAUACAUGUGCCAGCAGCCGCGGUAAUACAUGAGUAAUAAGCGUUAUCCUUAUUAGUCGGGUGUAAAACGUGUUUUGGUAAGUCAUGACAAAUGAUUUUCUUGACGAUAAAUUAAUUUUAUGGUAGUUUUAAUGGGUUUUUAGAUUAGUGAUCAAAUACU